AAAAAGAAAGACAGUGCCUUGACAAACAUUAUUAUGUGGAAAGAACUUCAAGUAACAGGAUGUCAUGUUUUGUGAUUGUCAAGAGAAAUAAGUCAUGUUGAAAUAUAUAAGGAAAUCCUUCAGUGGAAGAAUGGUGAGAAAAUACAAGCUAUUUCCAGAAGCAUCCCUGGUCCAGUUGCCUCCAAAAGAUUUUUGUCAUCAAUCCAAGUUUGUGCUGUUACCAUGUCCUCCUCAUAGGAUAGCACCAUUGUGGGAUCGAGGUCACCCAUCCAGGGCUCAGCAGGGAUCAUUCAAACAGCAGGCCCCAGCCACCAGAUCAUCACCCCUACCUUACCGGAGAGCUGCAUCUGCACAGUUACCCUGCCCCCGUGAAUACCAGUACCACCUCCACCACCAUCUUUGCCACAGAUCAACAGCAAUACCAUUAUCUGAUUUAAAGAAUUACAAACCAUCUUCAUGCCCUACACAAAAUUCUAGUACCUCAGUGUCACAUUUACCUUGCUCUUAUUUCAAGGCAAGGUCAGAUGCCAUAGCUGCUAAAUCUUCUGAUUCUGAAACUCUUCUGGACCCUGAUCACAAUCCUGAGGAUUCACUGAACCCUUGUUUUUGGGCACAGACUCCUUCAGUCAUUGACUACAUUCCCAAGAUUUUAAAGAGCCAUGGCCAUUCAGGGCUACCAUACUUCAGCCAUCAGCUUCCACCUUCAUUUCUGUCUCUCCCCUUCCACCUAUGUCCAUCACCAUCAUCUAUGUCUUCACCACCUAAGUCUUCUCCACCACUACAACCAUCAUCCCCCCCAAAGCAGCCUCAGUCUCAGCUUCAGUCCCAACCUCAGUCUCCACCUUUAUGUUAUCAUUUACCUUUGCCUCAACCUGUACCUCCAAAGCCAUCUUUCACUGAUCGGAGGGUCAAGAAACAGGCAAAACUUCCUGCUCAUGUAGAACGUAGGGCCAAGACAGCAUCUUUAAUAACUUCAUUGCACCCAAUUUGUCCCCAAAGUGCCUCAGUUGUGCGAGGAAGCCACCCUAAAGCCCCACCAGCUCAAGGGCAUCAAAUGAAGACUUCUGCCCUUGUAGGAUGUCUCCACCUACAACGUAAAGGCAGGAUUUUGUCACCUUCACCUGAACAUCAUUCUAGGCUCACAGCUUUGAAAACAACCAACUUGUCCAAGAACAAAACUUCCAAGGCAUAACAUCCUGACCCUUUUCCUGAGGAUACAACUACAAUGUUAGGAUUCUUAGACCAUACUUAUGGGCUUCAAAAUCAGACACAAGUGACAAAGAUGCAUAGAAGAGCAAUCCCUUCAUGCUUCAUCACUGCAUCUUCGUUACUUCACAAAUACUAUACCAGGGUCACAAAUGUAUGUGCACCAUACUCCAUCUACUGUGUUCUAGAUAGGCACAGGUCAUCUAAUCAUCUUACCAUCAGGGUAGAGCAGCAGCUAUACCACCACCAGUUUGAACCAUGGAACCUUUUAAUUAUUAGUAUCUAUCUAUGCCUGGAAUAUAGGGCCAAGGUUAACUUGACACUUUUCAUAGUUUCAUUUCGUAAUGGUUAAGGCUCCACUAUGCCCUGAUUAUAAUGCCAACUAUAAAACUGAGCCAUAACAAUACCCUGAUCACCAAGUUGUACCUCAACUAGUUCUGACCAUUGAACUGAAAUUUUCAUGGAGUUCAACCACCAAACCCUAAUAACAUCAAUAUACUCGGGCAUUUGGCUUGAAGCAAUUGCCGUCUCAAAAGCCCAAGCCAUAACAUUAACUCGAGUCUAAAUAGGGUUUUGAGCAAUGCAAGGCUUUGCUGAGUCUAGAUAAUGGGGGAAGGGACCUGUUACUUUGAUAUUACCCUAUUUAUUAAUUUUAUCAACACAACUCAUUUGGACAUAGGCCAAAAAACUGAGCUUGCUCUGGACACUAAAAAAUGAGGCCAUAUAAAAAAUGGGGCUGGGAAGUUGGGCAAAGAAUUCCUUUUGUUUUGGUGACUAGAACUGUUCUUUCACUGAGUCCCCCACAUUAGAUUCAGACUGGUUGGGACAGUGACUCAGGCCAUAUCUCUAUGAGGCUUGGAUGGACUGGAGAGGCUUUAUAGAGUCCCAAUUGCCAGAGUACAGUGAUACAGUGCCAGGACUGCCAUGCCACACCUUUACUAGGUCCUAAACAUUUGGACAAAUUGCCACGAGAAUUAGGCCAGCAAGCUGAGAGUAUUCAGGAUUCUGUCUUCUGGAUGUUGUCUUCACUAGAUUCUGAGCAUCAAGUUAAAGAGUCCUUUGAACUACCAAUUCUCAGAAUGCAGAUUCACUGGACCGGGAUUACUGGAACAAGGCUGCAUAGGGUCAUUCAGGCCACAAAGCUCUGCCCUUCCCAGGCCAAGAUUUAAAUAAAGACCAUACCUAACACCAAGUGUUCUGCACAGCCGACAGAUAUUUCUCCAGGCUUAGAUGUACUCUAGUUCACAUUUCCUGAAUCACCAAGAUAUUUAAUAGGUCUUGAGUAUGAGGGUGGGUUGUUUUGAUCGACA
rnacentral:lncRNA from 1 species